rnacentral:rRNA from 1 species
GACUACCCGGGUAUCUAAGCCCAUUCGCUCCCCACGCUUUCGUGUCUCAGCGUCAGAAAUGUGCCAAUUGCUUGCCUUCGCCUUGAGUGUUCCUCAUGAUAUCAACGCAUUUCACUACUACACCAUGAAUUCCAGCAAUCUCUCACAUUCUCUAGUCUAGCCGUUUCAAAUGCUUUCCCGGGGUUGAGCCCCGGUCUUUAACAUCUGACUAACUAGACCGCCUACACACGCUUUACGCCCAAUAAAUCCGGAUAACGCUUGGGGCCUCUGUAUUACCGCUACUGCUGGCACAGAGUUAGUAGCCCCUUAUUCCUUAGGUACUCUCAUCUUAAUUGCUCCCUAAGAAAAGUGGUUUACGAUCCGAAAACCUUCUUCCCACACGCGGCGUCGCUCCAUCAGACUUUCGUCCAUUGUGGAAUAUUCUCGACUGCAGCCACCCGUAGG